UCAGCCGUUGCGGUAGGCCUAACACAUGCAGUCGAACGGACCCUUCGGGGUUAGUGGCGGACGGGUGAGUAACACGUGGGAACGUGCCUUUAGGUUCGGAAUAGCUCCUGGAAACGGGUGGUAAUGCCGAAUGUGCCCUUCGGGGGAAAGAUUUAUCGCCUUUAGAGCGGCCCGCGUCUGAUUAGCUAGUUGGUGAGGUAACGGCUCACCAAGGCGACGAUCAGUAGCUGGUCUGAGAGGAUGACCAGCCACACUGGGACUGAGACACGGCCCAGACUCCUACGGGAGGCAGCAGUGGGGAAUCUUGCGCAAUGGGCGAAAGCCUGACGCAGCCAUGCCGCGUGAAUGAUGAAGGUCUUAGGAUUGUAAAAUUCUUUCACCGGAGACGAUGAUGACGGUACCCGGAGAAGAAGCCACGGCUAACUUCGUGCCAGCAGCCGCGGUAAUACGAAGGGGGCUAGCGUUGCUCGGAAUUACUGGGCGUAAAGGGCGCGUAGGCGGAUCGUUAAGUCAGAGGUGAAAUCCCAGGGCUCAACCCUGGAACUGCCUUUGAUACUGGCGAUCUUGAGUAUGAGAGAGGUAUGUGGAACUCCGAGUGUAGAGGUGAAAUUCGUAGAUAUUCGGAAGAACACCAGUGGCGAAGGCGACAUACUGGCUCAUUACUGACGCUGAGGCGCGAAAGCGUGGGGAGCAAACAGGAUUAGAUACCCCUGGUAGUCCACGCCGUAAACGAUGAUUGCUAGUUGUCGGGCUGCAUGCAGUUCGGUGACGCAGCUUACGCAUUAAGCAAUCCGCCUGGGG
rnacentral:rRNA from 1 species